rnacentral:misc_RNA from 1 species
UUUCCCUUUUCCCAAAACUCCUUAAUUCAUAGCUAUUUUCUCGUAAAUAAACCAUAAAAUGUUUUCUUUUUUUAUGUCAUAGUAACUCUCGUCAGGCCGGCAGGACAACUCACGCAAGUGGAAGGCAGGACGAGUCCCAUUUAACUCGACUGAGUUAACUAGGCCUCACAAAAAACUUAAUACAAGUUGCUCAAUUUUCACCGCUCUUACUCAAAUGGCAACACCACAAAUUCACCCUUCAACCAACUGAGUCAACUCGACCGAGCCACCCCCAUGGAAUGAGCGAAGGAAAAAUUUUUUUU